rnacentral:rRNA from 1 species
CUACGGGGCGCAGCAGUGGGGAAUAUUGGACAAUGGGGGAAACCCUGAUCCAGCAAUGCCGCGUGUGUGAAGAAGGCCUGCGGGUUGUAAAGCACUUUCGGUUGGGAGGACUGCUUCUAGCACUAAUAUUGUUGGAAGUUGACGUUACCUUCAGAAGAAGCACCGGCUAACUCCGUGCCAGCAGCCGCGGUAAUACGGAGGGUGCGAAGCGUUAAUCGGAAUUACUGGGCGUAAAGCGCGCGUAGGCGGCUAGAUCAGUCGGGUGUGAAAGCCCCGGGCUUAACCUGGGAACUGCAUCCGAUACUGUCUAGCUUGAGUACAGGAGAGGAGAGUGGAAUUCCACAUGUAGCGGUGAAAUGCGUAGAUAUGUGGAGGAACACCAAUGGCGAAGGCAGCUCUCUGGCCUGAUACUGACGCUGAGGUGCGAAAGCGUGGGGAGCAAACAGGAUUAGAUACCCUCGUAGUC